CAUGCAAGUCGGACGGUAACAGGAGAGAAGCUUGCUUUUCUUGCUGACGAGUGGCGGACGGGUGAGUAACGCGUGGGAAUCUACCCUUUAGUUGGGGACAACAUAUGGAAACGUAUGCUAAUACCGAAUAUGCUCUACGGAGUAAAGGUGCCCUCUCCUUGGAAGGUAUCGCUAAAGGAUGAGCCCGCGUUAGAUUAGCUAGUUGGUAGGGUAAAGGCCUACCAAGGCGACGAUCUAUAGCUGGUUUGAGAGGAUGAUCAGCCACACUGGGACUGAGACACGGCCCAGACUCCUACGGGAGGCAGCAGUGGGGAAUAUUGCACAAUGAGGGAAACCUUGAUGCAGCCAUGCCGCGUGUGUGAAGAAGGCCCGAGGGUUGUAAAGCACUUUCAAUUGUGAGGAAGAUUAAGUAGCUAAUACCUGCUUAGUUUGACGUUAACUUUAGAAGAAGCACCGGCUAACUCUGUGCCAGCAGCCGCGGUAAUACAGAGGGUGCAAGCGUUAUUCGGAAUUACUGGGCGUAAAGCGCGCGUAGGCGGACUGUUAAGUCGGUUGUGAAAGCCCUGGGCUCAACCUAGGAACUGCAUCCGAUACUGGCAAUCUAGAGUUUAAGAGAGGGAAGUGGAAUUCCAGGUGUAGCAGUGAAAUGCGUAGAUAUCUGGAGGAACAUCAGUGGCGAAGGCGACUUCCUGGCUUAAAACUGACGCUGAGGUGCGAAAGCUUGGGUAGCGAACGGGAUUAGAUACCCCGGUAGUCCAAGCCGUAAACGAUGUCAACUAGCUGUUGGUCUUAUUAAAAAGAUUAGUAGCGCAGCUAACGCGAUAAGUUGACCGCCUGGGGAGUACGGU
rnacentral:rRNA from 1 species